AUGGGGUUCUGUGACUUCACGUCUGGGAGGAAUGUGACUGCUUGGAUUCAGGCUGUGUGAUGCAGAGACAUGUGAUAUGAAUGGGACUCAGAGUUUGACCUGGUUCCCUGGCUGAGACAAGAGAGGGAGACACUGAGGAGGUCCACUUCAAGUCUUCGCAGCAGAGCCACCAAAGCCCAAGGCAGACUGGGGACAGAGUCUUCAGUUUGGUCUUCAUCACGCAGGGAACAGUUACACAAUGGGAAAGGUGACUCCGUGUGAGAAGAGAGUCCAGAGAAACCAGGUGCUGGCACUAAUGGCGUGCUCCACCACCACGCCCGGCUACCUCCUGGUUUUUAACAGGAUCUCUGGCCUCGAACUCCAGGUGUAGCUGAGGAUGACCGCUGUCCUAUCUCUAUCUGGGCUUGCAUUCACGUAACACACACCAGGCCUAUGAAGCGCUGGGACCCAUUGCAUCAUGCGUGCUACGUGAGUUCCAUCUCCAACCCUGAAACUUUCUUUUAGGAUGUUCACUUGUGUAUCAUCCGUCUCAUCACCUUCUAAAGAAGGCACAGUUGUCUCCGGAUCCCAGAGCAAUGAUGGACAACCAUGGGUACUGUGGUUUGUUGAUUGACUACAUAAUGAGUGACAAGAACAUCUGUCAUUUACAAUAUACACAAUUGUAUCAUUGCAUCCAUCCCAUGACAAUGCACAGGGAAAACCCAAACCUCUGAAAGGUGAAACAAUUUGACUCAGGUUGCCCAGUGAGUUAGUCUCAGGGACCAAACAGAAUCAGCCUGAUUUUAAGGUUACCCCUGAUUCUAGAGGAGGAACGAGGUGGGGAACCCCACAAAUGUCCUGAAGAUAGGUGGGUGGAACUCAUGGGUCAACAAGACAAAGAAGACCUAGGUUCAGGGAUUGUGUGGAUUACUCAACUUCUUGAAGAUCAGAGAAGACAAGGGACGUGACUAAGGUUAUACAGCCCACCAAUGGUGGGAACAUGACUGGAACCCUUGGUGUUUGGAUUCCUGAUGCCAUGUAAGGAACUGGCUGGAGAGAGGUGUGGACAAGACAGUCAAGGAGAAAGCAAACCACUGAGGUUACAGCCUUGAUCAUCCUGGUUGCACCAUGGGCCAGGUUGUUUUUGGUCACGGUGUUCCCAGGAAAAGAAUCCUAACCAAGACAGCAGACUUUAUAUCGUUCUAGGCAUCGGUAGAAGGUGACCAGAC
rnacentral:lncRNA from 1 species